AGAGCUGAAACAACUAAUCGAUUUAAUCGAUUAUAAUCGAUUAUUAAAAUAGUUAACAACUUUUUUAGUCAUCGAUUAGUUGUUUAAUAAUCAUAUUUUACUGCAUAAAGUCUAUUUUUUACCACAAUCUGACAUCGGUUACAAUCUGUUAAAUUUGCCGCCAGUGUGUGGCAGUAAUGAGCCACUGAUCUACCAGUGGGGCCGUAGAAGAAGAAAUUAGCCAAUAAGUGCCCUCGGUUUUCAUGACGUAUCACGUUACUGACGCGCAUCUUGCUGUGAGAGAUGGCGGAUCAACAACAAAUACGGAAGAAAAAUAGAAGCGACAAAACAAGAGAAACCCCGGACAAAAACCUCACGAGUAUGGGAGCACUUCACUAGAUGCCUUGAAAAGACCGGUGACCUACAAAAUAUGCAAAAACCAUGGCACGACGGAAGCACGACGUCCCUAAGUGAACAUUUGAGACGAAAACGUGGGGGCUGAUGCAGCAGAGCAAUGUCCGAAAAAAACAAGCAACGAUGGACAACUACAUGGGGAACAAGACACUCACCCCCAGCAAUGCAUACCACUUACAAACUCUAUUCCAGAGUCUACAUUAUUUUUUAUGGAAUUUACCUAUUUUGAUGCCAAAAAAUUAUUCUGGACUGAUAUUUUGCACUGUUUAGCUCAUUUUACACUGCUGACUGUGGUCAUGUGCAAUAAAAUAGAUUGCAGUCAACUGCACAA